rnacentral:lncRNA from 1 species
CUCAUAGAAAUUAUGUGAGUCUUGAUGUAGCAACUAUUAAUGUUGUGUACAUGUUGUGUGAGUGUCUUGUAGGUAGGUGAUAAAAAGUUGUAUGUGAAUCUUAUUGUAGAGUUUACCUAUCACAUCCUUCAAAAGUGCGCUUUCCGUGGUAAACUGCAUAAUUCUCUAGUGACAAAUGCUUCAGUAUGACUACCUCGGUCAUUCGGAUUGGAAGCAUAUCCUUAUAGAGCAAACUUGAUGACUACAUAGAUAACUCGUGCCUCUAAUAUGAACAUGUUUUCUCCAAAUUUACCUAUUCAUAUCACAUGAUC